rnacentral:rRNA from 1 species
AUGCAAAGAACUUUGAAAAGAGAGUUAAAGAGUACCUGAAAUUGCUGAAAGGGAAGCGAAGGAAACCAGUGUUGGGACGAUCAUAUUUCCCUGGUAGCUUGCUACUUGGGCGCUGUGUUUGUUCUUGGGUUGUCCUUGGUUGGCAGUAUCGGAAGAGCUUCGAAAGAGUUGAUUUCGUUUGCUAGCGUUACUGCUGACUGAGGAGGACGAAAUGGUUUUCUUUACCCCGUCUUGAAACACGGACCAAGGAGUCUAACAUAUGUGCGAGUACAGGGGUGUCAAACCCCCGUGCGGAAUGAAAGUGACAGUGGUUGGACCUUUUUGGGCACAAUCCGCCGGCCUCAAUCCUUCGGGAGAACGGUCUGAGUGUGAGCAUACAUGUUGGGACCCGAAAGAUGGUGAACUAUGCCUGAAUAGGGUGAAGCCAGGGGAAACUCUGGUGGAGGCUCGUAGCGAUUCUGACGUGCAAAUCGAUCGUCAAAUUUGGGUAUAGGGGCGAAAGACUAAUCGAACCAUCUAGUAGCUGGUUCCCUCCGAAAUUUCCCUCAGGAUAGCUGCGAUCGGAGUUCAAUUUUAUCA